AGGGCCAACAAUCAACUUUGGCAGAAACUGAACAUGACAUAGAAUCAACAGUGUUAUUACAACACUAUAACACUACCUCUGAGGAAUCACCAUUGGUAAAUGACACAGGAACAACUGAUCUGUCAUUACACCAUAACACUUCUACUGAAAAGGUUCAUAGGGUGCAUUCUCUGCCAUUUCCCCUCUACAAUACGUCUACAAUUACCAAUGAGGUACAACAAACAAUGAGUGAUGUGGAUAAAAAAAGACAACAUGAACUUUUACUUAUGGCAUUAAAACUUAAGCAUGGACUUAGUGAUGCUGCAUUGGAAGACAUCCUUAAAAUUACAAAUGUGAUAAGUGAGAGGCAUGCUGUGUCUUCUACAAAAUAUUUGUUUUACAAAAGCUUUGAUGACA